AGUUGAUCCUGGCUCAGGAUGAACGCUGGCGGUAUGCUUAACACAUGCAAGUCGAACGGUCACUUCGGUGAUAGUGGCGGACGGGUGAGUAACGCGUGAGAAUCUGUCUUCAGGUCGGGGACAACAGUUAGAAAUGACUGCUAAUACCGGAUGUGCCUUUGGGUGAAAGAUUUAUUGCCUGAAAAAGAGCUCGCGUCAGAUUAGCUAGUAGGUGGUGUAAAGGACUACCUAGGCGACGAUCUGUAGCUGGUCUGAGAGGACGAUCAGCCACACWGGAACUGAGACACGGUCCAGACUCCUACGGGAGGCAGCAGUGGGGAAUUUUCCGCAAUGGGCGAAAGCCUGACGGAGCAAUACCGCGUGAGGGACGAAGGCUCUUGGGUCGUAAACCUCUUUUCUCAAGGAAGAUAAUGACGGUACUUGAGGAAUAAGCAUCGGCUAACUCUGUGCCAGCAGCCGCGGUAAUACAGAGGAUGCAAGCGUUAUCCGGAAUGAUUGGGCGUAAAGCGUCCGCAGGUGGUUUUAUAAGUCUGCUGUUAAAGCGUCAUGCUUAACAUGAUACAGGCAGUGGAAACUAUGAGACUAGAGUAUGUUAGGGGUAGAGGGAAUUCCCAGUGUAGCGGUGAAAUGCGUAGAGAUUGGGAAGAACACCGGUGGCGAAAGCGCUCUGCUAGGACAAUACUGACACUGAGGGACGAAAGCUAGGGGAGCGAAUGGGAUUAGAUACCCCAGUAGUCCUAGCCGUAAACGAUGGAUACUAGGCGUUGCCCGUAUCGACCCGGGCAUUGUCGUAGCUAACGCGUUAAGUAUCCCGCCUGGGGAGUACGCACGCAAGUGUGAAACCCAAAGGAAUUGACGGGGGCCCGCACAAGCGGUGGAGUAUGUGGUUUAAUUCGAUGCAACGCGAAGAACCUUACCAGGACUUGACAUGUCGCGAAUCUUGCUGAAAGGUGAGAGUGCCUUCGGGAGCGCGAACACAGGUGGUGCAUGGCUGUCGUCAGCUCGUGUCGUGAGAUGUUGGGUUAAGUCCCGCAACGAGCGCAACCCUCGUUUUUAGUUGCCAGCAUUAAGUUGGGCACUCUAGAGAGACUGCCGGUGACAAACCGGAGGAAGGUGGGGAUGACGUCAAGUCAGCAUGCCCCUUACGUCCUGGGCUACACACGUACUACAAUGCUACGAACAAAGGGCAGCUAGUUAGCAAUAACAUGCAAAUCUCAGAAAUCGUAGCUCAGUUCAGAUUGAAGGCUGCAACUCGCCUUCAUGAAGUCGGAAUCGCUAGUAAUUGCAGGUCAGCAUACUGCAGUGAAUUCGUUCCCGGGCCUUGUACACACCGCCCGUCACACCAUGGAAGCUGGUCACGCCCGAAGUAGUUAUCCUAACCGUUCGCGGGGGGAGAUUCCGAAGGUAGGGCUGGUGACUGGGGUGAAGUCGUAACAAGGUAGCCGUACCGGAAGGUGUGGCUGGAUCACCUCCU
rnacentral:rRNA from 1 species